rnacentral:rRNA from 1 species
CGGGACACGUGGUAUCCUGUCUGAAUAUGGGGGGACCAUCCUCCAAGGCUAAAUACUCCUGACUGACCGAUAGUGAACCAGUACCGUGAGGGAAAGGCGAAAAGAACCCCGGCGAGGGGAGUGAAAAAGAACCUGAAACCGUGUACGUACAAGCAGUGGGAGCACGCUUAGGCGUGUGACUGCGUACCUUUUGUAUAAUGGGUCAGCGACUUAUAUUCUGUAGCAAGGUUAACCGAAUAGGGGAGCCGAAGGGAAACCGAGUCUUAACUGGGCGUUAAGUUGCAGGGUAUAGACCCGAAACCCGGUGAUCUAGCCAUGGGCAGGUUGAAGGUUGGGUAACACUAACUGGAGGACCGAACCGACUAAUGUUGAAAAAUUAGCGGAUGACUUGUGGCUGGGGGUGAAAGGCCAAUCAAACCGGGAGAUAGCUGGUUCUCCCCGAAAGCUAUUUAGGUAGCGCCUCGUGAAUUCAUCUCCGGGGGUAGAGCACUGUUUCGG